rnacentral:misc_RNA from 1 species
UACGAAGGGGGCGAGCGUUGUUCGGAUUUACUGGGCGUAAAGGGCGCGCAGGCGGCGCAGCAAGUCAGGCGUGAAAGCCCCGGGCUCAACCUGGGAAUUGCGCUUGGGACUGUUGCGCUGGAGUUCGGGAGAGGAGCGUGGAAUUCCCAGUGUAGAGGUGAAAUUCGUAGAUAUUGGGAAGAACACCGGUGGCGAAGGCGGCGCUCUGGACCGAGACUGACGCUGAGGCGCGAAAGCAUGGGGAGCAAACAGG